rnacentral:rRNA from 1 species
CAAGGGAGCUUGCUCCCUGAGAUCAGCGGCGGACGGGUGAGUAACACGUGGGUAACCUGCCUGUAAGACUGGGAUAACUCCGGGAAACCGGGGCUAAUACCGGAUAACUCAGUUCCUCGCAUGAGGAACUGUUGAAAGGUGGCUUUUAGCUACCACUUACAGAUGGACCCGCGGCGCAUUAGCUAGUUGGUGAGGUAACGGCUCACCAAGGCGACGAUGCGUAGCCGACCUGAGAGGGUGAUCGGCCACACUGGGACUGAGACACGGCCCAGACUCCUACGGGAGGCAGCAGUAGGGAAUCUUCCGCAAUGGACGAAAGUCUGACGGAGCAACGCCGCGUGAGUGAAGAAGGUUUUCGGAUCGUAAAACUCUGUUGUUAGGGAAGAACAAGUGCCGUUCGAAUAGGGCGGCACCUUGACGGUACCUAACCAGAAAGCCACGGCUAACUACGUGCCAGCAGCCGCGGUAAUACGUAGGUGGCAAGCGUUGUCCGGAAUUAUUGGGCGUAAAGCGCGCGCAGGUGGUUUCUUAAGUCUGAUGUGAAAGCCCACGGCUCAACCGUGGAGGGUCAUUGGAAACUGGGGAACUUGAGUGCAGAAGAGGAAAGUGGAAUUCCAAGUGUAGCGGUGAAAUGCGUAGAUAUUUGGAGGAACACCAGUGGCGAAGGCGACUUUCUGGUCUGUAACUGACACUGAGGCGCG